rnacentral:rRNA from 1 species
AGUGAACGCUGGCGGCAGGCCUAACACAUGCAAGUCGAACGGCAGCACAGUAAGAGCUUGCUCUUACGGGUGGCGGGUGGCGGACGGGUGAGGAAUACAUCGGAAUCUACUUUUUCGUGGGGGAUAACGUAGGGAAACUUACGCUAAUACCGCAUACGACCUACGGGUGAAAGCAGUGGAUCUUUGGACCUUGCGCGAUUGAAUGAGCCGAUGUCGGAUUAGCUAGUUGGCGGGGUAAAGGCCCACCAAGGCGACGAUCCGUAGCUGGUCUGAGAGGAUGAUCAGCCACACUGGAACUGAGACACGGUCCAGACUCCUACGGGAGGCAGCAGUGGGGAAUAUUGGACAAUGGGCGCAAGCCUGAUCCAGCCAUACCGCGUGGGUGAAGAAGGCCUUCGGGUUGUAAAGCCCUUUUGUUGGGAAAGAAAAGCAGCAGGUUAAUACCCCGCUGUUCUGACGGUACCCAAAGAAUAAGCACCGGCUAACUUCGUG